rnacentral:rRNA from 1 species
GACGAACGCUGCCGGCGUGCUUAACACAUGCAAGUCGAACGGAAAGGCCCUGCUUUUGUGGGGUGCUCGAGUGGCUAACGGGCGAGUAACACGUGAGUAACCUGCCCUUGACUUUGGGAUAACUUCAGGAAAAUGGGGCUAAUACCGGAUCGGAGCUCCUGCUGCAUGGAGGGGGUUGGAAAGUUUCGGCGGUUGGGGAUGGACUCGCGGCUUAUCAGCUUGUUGGUGGGGUAGUGGCUUACCAAGGCUUUGACGGGUAGCCGGCCUGAGAGGGUGACCGGCCACAUUGGGACUGAGAUACGGCCCAGACUCCUACGGGAGGCAGCAGUGGAGAAUAUUGCACAAUGGGCGGAAGCCUGAUGCAGCAACGCCGCGUGCGGGAUGACGGCCUUCGGGUUGUAAACCGCUUUCGCCUGUGACGAAGCGUGAGUGACGGUAAUGGGUAAAGAAGCACCGGCUAGCUACGUG